AAGACUAUACUUUCAGGAAUCAUUUCUAUAGUUUCUAACUAGGAAAUGUGAUUGGAAAGUGUUACGUCUCCCUAAUCACAAUGAUGAGUUAUGAUGUACUUUUCUGUGUAUGAAUCAGAUUACAGCGAGUGUAUUAUGCAUAAGCUAUAGUUGUUGAUGAGCAUCAUGUCUUUGAGAGACAUUAAAAGAAAAGUACAUGAUCAGAGUGAU